CGGUCGAUGUUCCUCCUGCUGGCUCAUUCUGGAGUGGCCUUCCCGGCCCUGCACUGGGCAGUCAUGCUCCCCUCCCGGCACCUCUCACCCCUGACAGCCAUCCUCAGCUCUGCCUGCUCUGUGCCCAGGGUCUGUCCUGCAGGCCCCUGCCAGGCUCCCUCGGCCUGUGGCUUUGGGUCAGUUUCAGUCAAUGGGAGACACCAGCAGGAGGAGAGGGGGCAGAGGAGCAACAAAGGGGGGGCGCUCUUUCUUUCCUGGCCCCCUGCUUCAGCAUCCUGUCUCUCAGGGUCCCUCUGUCCUUCCCUGAUGAUUGGUCAGGUGGGUGGCUGCUUCUUCUCCUUGUCCCAUCCUCCCCGGGGAUGGUAACAGCUUCUGACUGCUGCUAAUCUCUGUGUGCCUCAACUUCCCAAUUCAUUCUUUAGCCCUGACUGCCCCUCUGCAAAGGGUCCCUUCAUUCAUAUCUGAUUUGAACCAUAGGGGGUGAACUCUGCUUCCUCUUGAGACCUUAACCCUGAUGUCUCUGAAGGAUUUGGGGUCCUCUGAUGUGAACCCAGUCCUGUGUCAAUAAUUGAUAAAGCUGGCAGGAAAAUGUGAGAUCAGAGUACUAAUUAUCAAAUUAAUAUUUAAUCCAAGGUUAGAGUAAUAAUGAUUAAUAUGACUACUAACAAAGCACAUAUAUAUAAUUUUGUUCUUGUGACAUCAGCUCCAAAACCUAUGCAGGGCACAUGUGAUUAUGUCCAUACUGAAAGUGAGUGUAUUUAUUAAUCAAUGUUCUUCAGAGAAACAGAACUAAAGGGAAAUGUAUAUAUAUAUGCAUGCGUGUGUGUGUGUGUGUGUGCACGUGGAGAGAGAGAGAGAAAUUUAAGGAAUUGGCUCACAUGAUUGUAGAGGCUCGGUAAGUCCAAAAUCUGCAGGUUAGGCCAGCAGGCUGGAGACCCAGGGCAGAGUUGCUGUUGAGUUCAAAGGUCAUCUGCUAGGAGAAUUCCUUCUUGCUUGGGGGCCCUCAAAGCAGCUGCAGCAACAGAGUCUGACCUCCCAGCAAGGAGCUCCUGCUGGAGGUUUGUUUACUUUGAACAAAAGCUCACAAAGAUGCCUACGAUUCCCUCUGCAAAUAGGAACUUUCCAUUUCUGCAUUACGCAGGGCAUACGUGUGUCAUUUAGGUGUUAAAACAGACCAGAAUGUGUUCUCCUGGCCAGAAGUGAGCAAAGCCAACUCCAGCUGCAGUUCCCUGACAGCCCAGUGAAUUAGGCUGAAGGAAAUGGCCCCACGUGGAGGUGGGAAAGGCCCACAGAGGAUGGUCGUGGUGGGAAACUCAGCAGGCAGAAAUGUUCUCUUGGUUUCUGGGAGGCUGGAGGUUUCCCAAGGGGCCGAUGAAGUUUCAGCCUCAACUGAUGGCAGCAGCCUCUCCAGAUGGCCUGCCACUGCCAUCACACCAGCUGUAGCAGGGAGGUGCAGCCGGGGUUGACCGCUCCAUGGAGUUGACAGGAGCUGGGGACAAGUGGGAGCCCUGCCCCUUCCAAGCUGGGGCAGGAGCUCCCCAGGUGCCGCUGCAGCCAUUCAUACCACGGCUGCAGGCCUGGGCUUCCCACUCCACAGAGCGCGCAGGAGCCCCACCCUCCUGUGAGGGGUUGCACCAGCCCAAGUCAUGGCUGCAGAUCUGAGCCUCCCUGUGCUCUUUGGGGGCUGGGAGCAGGCAGGAGCCCUGCCUUUCCAGGUGCAGCUGCAGCUGCCCAAACUGUCGCUGCAGACCCGGGCCUCCUGCUCCAUGCAGCAGGCAGGAGCCUCACCACCUGCAACCCGCCCCCCAGCCCCCUCCAGGCAUGGUGGCAUCUCCGGGGGGACGUUGCCUUAUUCCAGAUUCUCAGGUCCAGGGGCAGAGGGUCCAGGGGAAGUCUGGGGCCGCAGGAUAUCGCCCAGAGCCUGGCUUCUUCUGCCUUUCUGCCACCAUCCUCAGCUGGUGCCUUCACCUUGAGGCCUCCUGUGGCUGCUGGUGCUGCCGCUCUUGGCCUCCUGUCUGCCUUCAGCCAGGAGAGGAGAAAGGAGGAGGUGAGAGGAGGAAGGGGCUUAAAUAGAAGGCCACACUUACCCAGAAUCCCUAGUAGCCGCCUGUUCUGCAACCCCCUCCUUCCCGCACCCCCCCACCACUGGCUAGAGCUGUGUCACACAAGGAUGAGCAGCCAGAGAGCUGGGCACCAUCCAGGGAGCGCGUGAUCAUCAGGGUCUUGUUGGUAAGAAAAGGGCAUGUGGGUAGACAUCUGGAGUGCCUGUCAUGGUCCAAUUAACUGGCUAAAGGGAUUUGUGGGUGUGCAGCUGUUUUCAAUCAAAAGUACGUAAUUCACAUCUUCCCAAACACAGAUUCCUGCUUUUGAGUAAUGAAGGCGGCCAAACCACAUGACCCUGCCUGCAAAGAUUCCACCUGGACUCCCGGUUCCUCCAAGGAACCGUCGUGUGGUUCAAAUCCAACAGAAAUUCUCCAAAUCUCCACCCUCCUCAGGGUGCAGAGUUGGCUGCUUCUCUGUGCCCCCUGCUGAUCACCACAACCCCUGGGUGCCUCAGCCUGCGAAGCCCCAGCUGUCCUCCGUCUGCAGACAAGCCAAGGUGUGAAAGCCUCCUCGCUGGCCCAGGAGCCUGUCAUUGUCCUCCAGCAGCUCUAGCCUGGAUGCGGUCCCAGAGAUAAAUCAUAUCUCUUUAAAAAGCCACAGUGGCCCAUUAUUUCUGCUUGAAAACACCCCUGGCUCUCUGCUGGUGAGCUGGGUGACAGGCCCCGGCUGUUGUGCUCAGCGCUGCAUACAGUCACAUCAGUCUGUCGACUUGUGUAGUGAGCAAGCUGGUAGCUUCAGAUGGCGUGCACAUGAAAUCCCGUCCUGGCAUCCAGGACUUGGCCGGGGGUUGCAGGGAGCCAUGUCUCCUGAACAGGUAGUAAUAUUUUACAGUCCCCGCCUCAUGCCCAUGCGAAAUGCCCUGUUCAUACCUGGCUACAUGGGCAGUAGCAAAAAAGACACAAUGGCAAUCCCCGGGCUACCUUUUGCAAUAUUCAGCAACACUUUCUCAAAGAAAUUGCAAUCUUGAAAAAUAAACUGAAUACAAUUAAAGAAUUACUCUGGAUAUCUCAACCGGAAGAACAUUGUGAACCACCAUACACCCAUCACACAGGCUCACAGUUAUCAGGGUUUGCUCCUUCCUUCGAGCUCUCUCCCUUCUUCCUGCCAACUUAUUUUAAGGCAAACCCCAGACCUCACGUGGAUGUUUUCUAACAUAGCUGCAAUAUCUUUAUCACCUCCAACAAAAUUAAAAAUAAUUCCCCAUAAUUGUCUAACAUUCAGUCCAUGUUCGAAUUUCUCCAGUUGUCUCCCAAAUGUCUUUUUCCUGUUGCUUUUUGUCAAUCAAGAUUCAACAAGGGCCACAUGGCAUCUGGUUGUUAAGUCUCUAGUGUCUCUUUGGUUGACAGUGAUCCCUUCUCCCUCAUUUUACUUUUCAUGUCGCUGCUUGUUGAAUUCCCAGGAGCAGUUGCCUCUGGGGUGCUACACUUACCCAGAAUCCCUGGCAGCCAGCUGUUCAAAGAAUCUUGAAGCAAUCAGAUGGUUGGUGCGGAAUAAGGUUCGUGAAUUCUGGAUUUAGCUUUGAAUGCUUCAGCCAACCUGGAAUUUGUCUGAAUUUGUCUGCCUGCUGCCUCAUGGUGGCCCAUUUUAUUCCCUCUACCUGGAAGGACAAGUGGAUACCUCUGAGCAAUCUUGGGGAAGAGAUCAUGGUUUCCGUUGUUAGGAACAACGCUCAAAAUCCUAAGGAAAUUGAACACUUGAACAAAAGAUUCUUAGCAAAGCAAUUUUACUUCUGCGCAGAGGAGUGCCUCCUUGGCCAGUUGCCAUGAGAACACAUCUGAACAAAUGGCACGAGAGCC
rnacentral:lncRNA from 1 species